rnacentral:rRNA from 1 species
CCUACGGGAGGCAGCAGUGGGGAAUAUUGCACAAUGGGCGAAAGCCUGAUGCAGCAACGCCGCGUGAGGGACGACGGCCUUCGGGUUGUAAACCUCUUUUAGUAGGGUAAGAAGCGAAAGUGACGGUACCUGCAGAAAAAGCACCGGCUAACUACGUGCCAGCAGCCGCGGUAAUACGUGGGGUGCAAGCGUUAUCCGGAAUUAUUGGGCGUAAAGAGCUCGUAGGCGGUUUGUCGCGUCUGCUGUGAAAACUGGGGGCUCAACCCCCAGCCUGCAGUGGGUACGGGCAGACUAGAGUGCGGUAGGGGAGAUUGGAAUUCCUGGUGUAGCGGUGGAAUGCGCAGAUAUCAGGAGGAACACCGAUGGCGAAGGCAGAUCUCUGGGCCGUAACUGACGCUGAGGAGCGAAAGCAUGGGGAGCGAACAGGAUUAGAUACCCUGGUAGUCCAUGCCGUAAACGUUGGGAACUAGAUGUAGGGACCAUUCCACGGUUUCUGUGUCGCNGCUACGACAUUAGUUACCCGUCCGUCGGGAGGUACGGCCGGCGACGGACGUAAACGUACAACGUAAGUAAGUUAGUUACGGCGUGAGACGUGCCGACGGCGACGACGAGGGAGGAGG